rnacentral:rRNA from 1 species
AGAUGGCGACCGGCGCACGGGUGAGUAACACGUAUCCAACCUGCCGAUAACUCGGGGAUAGCCUUUCGAAAGAAAGAUUAAUACCCGAUGGUAUAAUCAGACCGCAUGGUUUGAUUAUUAAAGAAUUUCGGUUAUCGAUGGGGAUGCGUUCCAUUAGGCAGUUGGUGAGGUAACGGCCCGCCAAACCGACGAUGGAUAGGGGUUCUGAGAGGAAGGUCCCCCACAUUGGUACUGAGACACGGACCAA